rnacentral:rRNA from 1 species
ACAACUUUCAGCGAUCGAUGUUUCGGCUCGAGCUCAGAUGAAGGGCGCAGCAAACUGCGAUAAGCAUUGUGAAUUGCAGGAUUCCGUGAACCAACCGAAACCUGAACGUAGAAUACGCUCUCGGGUUAUUCUUGAGAGCGUGCCUGCCUCAGUGUCCUU